rnacentral:rRNA from 1 species
AACGAACGCUGGCGGCAGGCCUAACACAUGCAAGUCGAGCGAGAUCUUCGGGUCUAGCGGCGGACGGGUGAGUAACGCGUGGGACUAUGCCUCUUGGUACGGAAUAGCCUCGGGAAACUGGGAGUAAUACCGUAUGUGCCCUUUGGGGGAAAGAUUUAUCGCCAAGAGAUUAGCCCGCGUUGUAUUAGGUAGUUGGUGGGGUAAUGGCCUACCAAGCCGACGAUCCAUAGCUGGUUUGAGAGGAUGAUCAGCCACACUGGGACUAAGACACGGCCCAGACUCCUACGGGAGGCAGCAGUGGGGAAUCUUAGAAAAUGGGGGCAACCAUGAUCUAGCCAUGCCGCGUGAGUGAUGAAGGCCUUAGGGUUGUAAAGCUCUUUCAGCUGGGAAGAUAAUGACGGUACCAGCAGAAGAAGCCCCGGCUAACUCCGUG